rnacentral:rRNA from 1 species
ACUCCUACGGGAGGCAGCAGUGGGGAAUAUUGCACAAUGGGGGAAACCCUGAUGCAGCAACGCCGCGUGGAGGAUGACGCAUUUCGGUGUGUAAACUCCUUUUAUUAGGGAAGAAUAAUGACGGUACCUAAUGAA